CGGACGGGUGAGUAACACGUAGAGAACCUACCUUACACAGGGGGACAACGGCUGGAAACGGCGUGCUAAUACCGCAUAAGCACCCAGUUUCGCAUGAAACAGAGUGAAAAGAGUAAAUCGGUGUAAGAUGGCUCUGCGUCUGAUUAGCUAGUUGGUGGGGUAAAGGCUCACCAAGGCGACGAUCAGUAGCCGGCCUGAGAGGGCGACCGGCCACAUUGGGACUGAGACACGGCCCAGACUCCUACGGGAGGCAGCAG
rnacentral:rRNA from 1 species